rnacentral:lncRNA from 1 species
CAUCAAUGUUAUAGUAAACGCAGCCCUUGCAACAAAGUUUACCCAUGGCUCCCACGCACUUUUCAAACUAAAAAAAUAUAAGAAAACCAAAAACUGACCAGAAAAAGGUGGAAACAAUACAUAUACGAACUAGAAGCAGAUAAAUAAAUCGACAUUGAUACUGGUGUCUUCAAGCAGCCACGCUGUGAAGCACGACGGUCUCCACCGUGAGGCCAGGCCCAAAUCCAAAUAGCACACCCCAUUCCAGUCCUUCUCCAGUUGUCUCCAGUCCUUUCUCAGCUGACUUCCUCCUCACCUCGUCCAAAAUAAACAAGACACACGCACUCGACAUGUUGCCGUAAUCUGACAACACUUGCCUUGUCGCUUCUAAUUUCUCCGGCUUCAACGCCAACUUGGCCUCUACUUGGUCCAGAAUAGCAGGGCCACCUGGGUGUGCAAUCCAGAAGAGUGAGUUCCAGUCCGAAAUGCCUAUAGGCUUGAAGGCCUCGUUAAGGCUCUUUUCGAUGUUCUUUGAAAUAAGCCCGGGAACGUCCUUCAAAAGGUGAAACGUAAGCCCUACUUCACGGAGAUGUCCGUCGAUAGCCCCAUCACUGUCAGCGAGAAUGGUUUGUGCCGCCGAGACCAAUUCAAACAAGGGCUUCUCGACUUCGGGCACUGGGUCGGCACCAAUGAUGACGGCCGCUGCACCGUCGCCAAACAAGGCUUGACCCACAAGACUGUCAAGGUGGGUGUCACUAGGCCCACGGAAGGUGACCGCGGUGAUCUCAGAGCACACAACAAGAACACGUGCACCC